rnacentral:misc_RNA from 1 species
UUUCCGUAGGUGAACCUGCGGAAGGAUCAUUCAUAAUAAAGUGUUUUAUGGCACUUUCUAAAAAUCCAUAUCCACCUUGUGUGCAAUGUUAGAUCUCGUCAAUCUUGGCGAGAUUUUUAUACAUCAACUCAUUCUUUAACUAAUUUGUCUGAAGAAUGUUAUGAAUACUUAAUUCAAAAUACAACUUUCAACAACGGAUCUCUUGGCUCUC